CCAGAGGGUCGGGCGGCCGCGUCGCAUGCAAGUGCGCCGAGGAAAGUCCGGGCUCCACGGAACGACGGUGCCGGGUAACGCCCGGCGGAGGCGACUCCAGGGAAAGUGCCACAGAAAGCAGACCGCCUUCGGCUUCGGCCGGGCAAGGGCGAAAGGGUGGGGUAAGAGCCCACCGCGGGCCCGGCAACGGGAACGGCACGGCAAACCCCACCGGGAGCAAGACCGAAUAGGGAUGGCAAAUGGGCCUGUUCCGGCUCGUCAUCCGGGUUGGUUGCUGGAGACCGUCAGCAAUGAUGGUCCAAGAGGAAUGGCCGCACAUCGUCCAACAGGGCGAGGACAGAACCCGGCUUACAGACCCUCUGGCGCU
rnacentral:RNase_P_RNA from 1 species